UACUUACUCUUUAUUGAUAAUGUCUACUUCAUAGGUUUGUGUGGGGGGAAAAAGGCAGAUAUACAGUAAUCAUUAAAUUUCCUUCUUUUAUUUUUAUUGUUUCAGAGAAAUCCACCAUUAGCUCUUGAAAAUUUUUCUUUAACCAUGGUCUCUUGGAAAUAUUACCUUUAUGAUUGUAGCUAAGAAAACCAAAAAUACUGAUGACUGAAUUUUCCUCUUUGCAAGUCAAUGGGUUCAAAAUAUUGAACCUGUACCUGAUGACAUCAGUGGACAUUUAGUCUUACAAGAUCCCCCAUACGGAAGCCAUAGUGAAAGCUGGAGCAAGGUGCUAUUGAAAAUAUGAAGGGUGACAUGAGGAUGUGGACUUCCCACUCAUGCAGCUUAUUCAUGUCCUCUGUUUGUGUUUUGUUCCAAGCCUGGAUAUUCUGCUUCUGAAUCUGUCCACCUCUGACUUGAUAUUCCAGCCCUUACAUGAGUGUCAACUAUAUGCUCCAUUCGUCAUCAGUAUCAUCAUCAGUAAUCACAUGCUGCAAUCGGUAUUCAUUCACUGACCUCCAAAAGAGAGUAGGUAUAGAUCACAAUACAAUGGACAUAAUAGGUGUGAUUCAUCGUGUAAUCAAGAAUGGAAAAUUAACAGUAAAUUGAGGUCCAGAUGCAAAGAAACUGGCUUGUUUUCUGUGUUUACACUGUGAUUGUCAGUGACCAUUAUCUGCUGGGUCCAAGUAAUACUGGAAAUAGCUUCUUCAGGUGUUCUCUACAUUUUUAUGAGAAAUGAACAGCACUUUCAUUAUAGAAAAAAAAGAGAAAAUGUUAAAAUUCGAAAUGAAGAAAUUAUCCAUGGAAUUCUUACAUUGCUAAAAGAGAGAAGGCAAGAGCAACAAGAUAAAAACAUAAAUAAAAACAAACACCAAGAGGUUGAUA